UACAAUCCUACACACAAUCCAUUGAAAAUGA
rnacentral:piRNA from 1 species